CCCGCUGAACUUAAGCAUAUCAAUAAGCGGAGGAAAAGAAACCAACAGGGAUUGCCUCAGUAACGGCGAGUGAAGCGGCAACAGCUCAAAUUUGAAAUCUGGCUCUUUUAGGGUCCGAGUUGUAAUUUGUAGAGGAUGCUUCGGCGUCGGCUCCGGUCUAAGUUCCUUGGAACAGGACGUCAUAGAGGGUGAGAAUCCCGUAUGUGAUCGGUUGCCCUUGCCAUGUGAAGCUCCUUCGACGAGUCGAGUUGUUUGGGAAUGCAGCUCUAAAUGGGAGGUAAAUUUCUUCUAAAGCUAAAUACCGGCCAGAGACCGAUAGCGCACAAGUAGAGUGAUCGAAAGAUGAAAAGCACUUUGGAAAGAGAGUCAAAAAGUACGUGAAAUUGUUGAAAGGGAAACGCUUGAAGUCAGUCGCGUCUGCCGGAACUCAGCCCUGCUUCUGCUUGGCGCACUUUCCGGUCCGACGGGCCAGCAUCGGUUUCGUGGGGCGGACACUGGCGGGGGGAAGGUGGUGGCUCCGGCCGCGUUAUAGCCCUCUGUCGCAAACGUCUCGUGGGACCGAGGAAUCCGGCGCAAGCCUGGGAUGCUGGCGUAAUGGCUUUAAACGACCCGUCUUGAAACACGG
rnacentral:rRNA from 1 species